GACGUAGGGCGCGAGCGUUGUCCGGAAUUAUUGGGCGUAAAGAGCUCGUAGGCGGUUUGUCGCGUCUGCUGUGAAAACCUAAGGCUCAACCUUGGGCUUGCAGUGGGUACGGGCAGACUAGAGUGCGGUAGGGGUGACUGGAAUUCCUGGUGUAGCGGUGGAAUGCGCAGAUAUCAGGAGGAACACCGAUGGCGAAGGCAGGUCACUGGGCCGCAACUGACGCUGAGGAGCGAAAGCAUGGGGAGCGAACAGG
rnacentral:rRNA from 1 species